rnacentral:tRNA from 1 species
UUAGCUCAGUUGGUAGAGCAGUUGGCUUUUAACCAAUUGGUCGAAGGUUCGAAUCCUUCACGACCCACCA